GGCAGAAUGUUGCAGAAAGAGAAAGAGAGAUCAAGGGCACCAACAGUUCACGAUCUGGAAUGUAUCAGCACCCCCUCCCAACAACUGGAGAUGUAAAAUUUUGCAAUAUUAAGACCAUCAGAAAGCUCAGUCUAUGAGAAUAAAAUACUGAAGAUGAGAUGUAUGAUGGCUAGCUGUCUUCUUACCAUGUGCCUGAUCCACAAAUAACAGAAGAAUGAAGACAACUGAAAAAAAGUACAGUUCUGAUCAGAACAGCAUUGUGUUGUUGAAUGUCAGCUGACUGUCAAAUAGUCUUUCUCUUCUUGUUCCUUAUUACCUUCAAUUCAUGUAGGUUUCUAAAUUUCUGUUCUAUAUUUUUACUUCCUAUUGUGCUUUCCAAGUCUUCUGCAAUUAAGCGGUCACACAAACAGAUACUACUGAUUUUCUUAUGUCAAGCACUGAGAUUCAUAAUCCACUGUACAGAGAGCAGAAAGUUAAACAAAGUAUAGGAAAAAUAUUUUGAUCUAUUCAAAAAUGUUUCCAAGGAGAACAUUUUUUCAUAAGUACUUAGCUUGUAGAUGCAAUAAUUCCUCUUUGGAACAAAACUAACAAUGCUAGAUUAUGAAUAGUAGAGCACUGGCAGCUCCAUAGUUUUAGUUCCUUGUGCUAAAUGAAGCCAAAGCAAGCCUACUGUGAUUGAUAGAGCUGCCUCUGCAAAGAACAGGUCUAGAGAAAACAGAUUUCCACAAAUGAAGAUGUUAACAGGCAGAAGAGGAACUCAAAUGCAUCCACUUCAAAAUAAAUGCCAAGUCACAGAGCAGGAACCGAACUGUGAGUGAUGCUAGGGAUGGGGCUUAUUACCUAAGGAAGUAUAACAUAAUACAGAAAGGUCCAGUGGAAAGCUGAGAUGUUUUUCAUGAAAUAAAGCUUAAAACUUAAAAAACAAACAAACAAACAAACAAAACCUAAGAGUGCAAAAGGAUAGAAUGAAUUGUAUCACUUUCCAUGCUUUUCUAAGGCUCGGUCCAAGGAAGAAGUAUGAAUUUUUUCAAAACUCAUGCCAUGCUUAUGUUGUAUCUGUGGGAUUCCUGCUGAUGUCACCAUGACACUGAAAGCACACUAUCUUCACAUAAUGCGAAUGUCAUGAUACUUGAAAAAUAGUGAGAUACGUACCACAGUUAAGAGAUCUGCCUUGCAGACAAGUGAAGGCAACUUUGUUCUUGGUCAUCAAUAAACUUCCCGUCACAUGCAUCGCUCCCGGCCCCACUGACUGCAGUCCUGGUGAAAUUCCUUCUUUCAUGAUUGGUGAAGUGCCUGUAGCUGGAUAACAGAGGUUGGUGAUUUUCUAAAUGUCAGUAUUAGCAGAGUGUAAAUGACGAGAGUAGACAAGGAGUGUAAUGCAUGCGUGUAACACUUUGAUGUGUGCAGAUUAAAUAUUUUACAAGAUGAAUCAUUUCCUCGUGCGUCAAAUACAUUUUUUUUCUGUUUGCUUGUUUGGUUUUUUAAAAUAGUUGCAUUAUUACAUUUUUUACAAUGAAAGCAAAGACAUUUUACUUGUAAACUCAGUCACAUCUCUUACAGCUCCUUUCACCCUGCUCCUUUCACUUGCUGGCUGGCUGCAUGACCAAGUGCUCACACAGCAUGAUGCGAUAUGUGAUAUGAUAAGAGCGUACGUGGAAACACACACUUGUAGUUCACAGAGAUUCUAUCAACGUCCUUUUGCUGUGAGUAGCUUUCAUGAAGUAAACCAGCCAAGAGAUUUUCCUUGAAAGCUUAAUUCGCAGAAAUUGGUGUCAGAUUCCAGGUUUUAUUUCAGUUAAAAGGUAUUGUAAAGUGUAGUUAUGCCACUGCAUGCUCCUUUGGUCACAUGCUAACGUGACACUGUGUUGUAUCUUUCAGAAAGGGUCCAACAGCACUUCUAUGGCAAUCCUCUGUGCCGGGAGAUGUGCUGAGAUCAGUCUGUGAUGUUGUGAAAGGUGCCAGCUAAGUGGGGUCAUGUGGGUUGGUUUGGGGAAGGAGGUCUCUGAGCAAAAGCAGUAAGGCUGGCAUCAGAUAUUUAUGUAUCUCUAAUAAAAGUCAAUGCCUUUUUAAUUCAGAAGAUGAGUGGAUUCAACUAAAGGUUGAGUAUUUAAUUGCUGAAAUGUAAGCCUGGAAAAUCUGCAGCUUGGUUAAUUCCAUAGCAAUAUACAUGGAACUGCCAAUAAUGACAGCUCGAUUACAAAUGGCUGUCAGGCAGGGCUUGCUUGCAAUACUGAGAGCUGAGUAGGGAUAGGUGAUUGGCAUGAGCUGUAUAUUCUUAGUAAAGAAAUGAGAUAUCCAUAUAAUACUGUUGUCAUCUUUUUAAUUGUAAAAGAGGUUUAAAUCAGAAACAACCAG
ensembl:lncRNA